rnacentral:rRNA from 1 species
UCGAACGAACUCUGGUAUUGAUUGGUGCUGCAUCAUGAUUUACAUUGAGUGAGUGGCGAACUGGUGAGUAACACGUGGGAAACCUGCCCAGAAAGCGGGGGAUAACACCUGGAAACAGAUGCUAAUACCGCAUAACAACUUGGACCGCAUGGGUCCGAGUUGAAAGAUGGCUUCGGCUAUCACUUUUGGAUGGUCCCGCGGCGUAUUAGCUAGAUGGUGGGGUAACGGCUCACCAUGGCAAUGAUACGUAGCCGACCUGAGAGGGUAAUCGGCCACAUUGGGACUGAGACACGGCCCAAACUCCUACGGGAGGCAGCAGUAGGGAAUCUUCCACAAUGGACGAAAGUCUGAUGGAGCAACGCCGCGUGAGUGAAGAAGGGUUUCGGCUCGUAAAACUCUGUUGUUAAAGAAGAACAUAUCUGAGAGUAACUGUUCAGGUAUUGACGGUAUUUAACCAGAAAGCCACGGCUAACUACGUGCCAGCAGCCGCGGUAAUACGUAGGUGGCAAGCGUUGUCCGGAUUUAUUGGGCGUAAAGCGAGCGCAGGCGGUUUUUUAAGUCUGAUGUGAAAGCCUUCGGCUCAACCGAAGAAGUGCAUCGGAAACUGGGAAACUUGAGUGCAGAAGAGGACAGUGGAACUCCAUGUGUAGCGGUGAAAGCGUAGAUAUAUGGAAGAACACCAGUGGCGAAGGCGGCUGUCUGGUCUGUAACUGACGCUGAGGCUCGAAA